GACGAACGCUGGCGGCGUGCUUAACACAUGCAAGUCGAACGGAAAGGCCCCUUUGGGGGUACUCGAGUGGCGAACGGGUGAGUAACACGUGAGUAACCUGCCCUUGACUUCGGGAUAACUUCAGGAAACUGGGGCUAAUACCGGAUAGGAAUCCUUGCUGCAUGGUGGGGGUUGGAAAGCUUCGGCGGUUUUGGAUGGACUCGCGGCUUAUCAGCUUGUUGGUGGGGUAGUGGCUUACCAAGGCUUUGACGGGUAGCCGGCCUGAGAGGGCGACCGGCCACAUUGGGACUGAGAAACGGACCAGACUCCUACGGGAGGCAGCAGUGGGGAAUAUUGCACAAUGGGCGGAAGCCUGAUGCAGCAACGCCGCGUGCGGGAGGACGGCCUUCGGGUUGUAAACCGCUUUCAGCAGGGGCGAAGCUUGUGGUGACGGUACCUGCAGAAGAAGCACCGGCUAACUACGUG
rnacentral:rRNA from 1 species